rnacentral:rRNA from 1 species
UGGGGAAUAUUGCGCAAUGGGGGCAACCCUGACGCAGCCAUGCCGCGUGAAUGAAGAAGGCCUUCGGGUUGUAAAGUUCUUUCGGUGACGAGGAAGGCGUGAUGUUUAAUAGGCAUCACGAUUGACGUUAAUCACAGAAGAAGCACCGGCUAACUCCGUGCCAGCAGCCGCGGUAAUACGGAGGGUGCGAGCGUUAAUCGGAAUAACUGGGCGUAAAGGGCACGCAGGCGGACUUUUAAGUGAGGUGUGAAAUCCCCGGGCUUAACCUGGGAAUUGCAUUUCAGACUGGGGGUCUAGAGUACUUUAGGGAGGGGUAGAAUUCCACGUGUAGCGGUGAAAUGCGUAGAGAUGUGGAGCAAUACCGAAGGCGAAGGCAGCCCCUUGGGAAUGUACUGACGCUCAUGUGCGAAAGCGUGGGGAGCAAACAGGAUUAGAUACCCUGGUAGUCCACGCUGUAAACGCUGUCGAUUUGGGGAUUGGGCCUUGAGCUUGGUGCCCGAAGCUAACGUGAUAAAUCGACCGCCUGGGGAGUACGGCCGCAAGGUUA